rnacentral:rRNA from 1 species
UACGAACCGUCCAAACGUUAUUCGGAAUUACUGGGCUUAAAGGGUUUGUAGGCGGCCUUGUAAGUGGGGUGUGAAAUCCCUCGGCUCAACCGAGGAAUAGCGCUCCAAACUACAUGGCUUGAGGGAGACAGGGGUUAGCGGAACUGAUGGUGGAGCGGUGAAAUGCGUUGAUAUCAUCAGGAGCACCGGUGGCGAAAGCGGCUAACUGGGUCUCUUCUGACGCUGAGAAACGAAAGCUAGGGUAGCGAACGGG